rnacentral:rRNA from 1 species
GACGAACGCUGGCGGCGUGCUUAACACAUGCAAGUCGAACGGAAAGGCCCUGCUUUUGUGGGGUGCUCGAGUGGCGAACGGGUGAGUAACACGUGAGUAACCUGCCCUUGACUUUGGGAUAACUUCAGGAAACUGGGGCUAAUACCGGAUAGGAGCUCCUGCUGCAUGGUGGGGGUUGGAAAGUUUCGGCGGUUGGGGAUGGACCCGCGGCUUAUCAGCUUGUUGGUGGGGUAGUGGCUUACCAAGGCUUUGACGGGUAGCCGGCCUGAGAGGGUGACCGGCCACAUUGGGACUGAGAUACGGCCCAGACUCCUACGGGAGGCAGCAGUGGGGAAUAUUGCACAAUGGGCGGAAGCCUGAUGCAGCAACGCCGCGUGCGGGAUGACGGCCUUCGGGUAGGAAACCGCUUUCGCCUGUGACGAAGCGUGAGUGACGGUAAUGGGUAAAGAAGCACCGGCUAACUACGUG